AUGAACGCUGGCGGCGUGCCUAAUACAUGCAAGUCGAGCGAACGGACGAGAAGCUUGCUUCUCUGAUGUUAGCGGCGGACGGGUGAGUAACACGUGGAUAACCUACCUAUAAGACUGGGAUAACUUCGGGAAACCGUAGCUAAUACCGGAUAAUAUUUUGAACCGCUUGGUUCAAAAGUGAAAGACGGUCUUGCUGUCACUUAUAGAUGGAUCCGCGCUGCAUUAGCUAGUUGGUAAGGUAACGGCUUACCAAGGCAACGAUGCAUAGCCGACCUGAGAGGGUGAUAGGCCACACUGGAACUGAGACACGGUCCAGACUCCUAAGGGAGGCAGCAGUAGGGAAUCUUCCGCAAUGGGCGAAAGCCUGACGGAGCAACGCCGCGUGAGUGAUGAAGGUCUUCGGAUCGUAAAACUCUGUUAUUAGGGAAGAACAGAUGUGUAAGUAACUGUGCACAUCUUGACGGUACCUAAUCAGAAAGCCACGGCUAACUACGUG
rnacentral:rRNA from 1 species